CCUACGGGUGGCAGCAGUGAGGAAUAUUGGUCAAUGGACGAGAGUCUGAACCAGCCAAGUAGCGUGAAGGAUGACUGCCCUAUGGGUUGUAAACUUCUUUUAUAUGGGAAUAAAAUGUUCCACGUGUGGGAUUUUGUAUGUACCAUAUGAAUAAGGAUCGGCUAACUCGGUGCCAGCAGCCGCGGUAAUACGGAGGAUCCGAGCGUUAUCCGGAUUUAUUGGGUGUAAUGGGAGCGUAGGUGGAUUGUUAAGUCAGUUGUGAAAGUUUGCGGCUCAACCGUAAAAUUGCAGUUGAAACUGGCAGUCUUGAGUACAGUAGAGGUAGGUGGAAUUCGUGGUGUAGCGGUGAAAUGCGUAGAUAUCACGAAGAACUCUGAUUGCGAAGGCAGCUCACUGGACUGUAACUGACACUGAGGCUCGAAAGUGUGGGUAGCAAACAGGAUUAGAUACCCUUGUAGUC
rnacentral:rRNA from 1 species